UACAGAGGUGGCAAGCGUUGUUCGGAAUUACUGGGCGUAAAGGGCUCGUAGGCGGCCAACUAAGUCGGAUGUGAAAUCCCCAGGCUCAACCUGGGAACUGCAUUGGAAACUAGCGGGCUGGAGUGUGGCAGAGGGGGGUGGAAUUCCACGUGUAGCAGUGAAAUGCGUAGAGAUGUGGAGGAACACCGAUGGCGAAGGCAGCCCCCUGGGUCAAGAUUGACGCUCAUGCACGAAAGCGUGGGGAGCAAACAGG
rnacentral:rRNA from 1 species